CAUAAUUAUACAUGAUAAAGCCAUGGGACUUUUUGCAUUACGUUGCAAGACACGUGACCAUGGAAAAACCAAAUUGAAGUGACCUUGUGUAAACCAGAAGUAGCUAUUUUUUGUACUCAUUUAAUGCAAAAGUGAAUUGAACAAUAUAUUUUGGGAAAAAGUAUCAAGUAAACUAUCAAGUAAACUAUCAAAUAAUGGGACAAUAACUUGAGUUAAGUGUAUGGAUCUCCCUGAAAUUGUGCCACAAGAUUCCAUAUCACAAAGGGAAAGCUGUGAUUGAGUUUGGG
rnacentral:lncRNA from 1 species